rnacentral:rRNA from 1 species
GGCUCCGUUCCGGGGUCCGAGUUGUAAUUUGGAGAGGAUGCUUCGGGCGCGGCACCGGUCUAAGUCCCUUGGAACAGGGCGUCAUAGAGGGUGAGGAUCCCGUAUGUGACCGGCGACCAAGUCCAGGUGAAGCUCCUUCGACGAGUCGAGUUGUUUGGGAAUGCAGCUCAAAAUGGGUGGUAAAUUUCAUCUAAAGCUAAAUACCGGCCAGAGACCGAUAGCGCACAAGUAGAGUGAUCGAAAGAUGAAAAGCACUUUGGAAAGAGAGUCAAAAAGUACGUGAAAUUGUUGAAAGGGAAGCGCUUGUAACCAGACCUGCCGUCGGGUGCUCAGCGGGCACUUGUGCCCGCCUAUUCACCCGCGAUCAGGCCAGCAUCGGUUUUGGCGGCCGGAUAAAGACUCGAGGAAUGUAGCUUCGCUUCGGGGAAGUGUUAUAGCCUCGGGUGCAAUACGGCCAGCCGGGACCGAGGACCGCGCUUCGGCUAGGAUGCUGGCGUAAUGGUUGCAAGCGACCCGUCUUGAAACACGGACCAAGGAGUCUAACAUCUAUGCGAGUGUUUGGGUGUCAAACCCAUGCGCGGAAUGAAAGUGAACGGAGGUGGGAACCCUCAAAGGGCGCACCAUCGACCGAUCCGGAAGUUUACGGAUGGAUUUGAGUAUGAGCAUAGCUGUUGGGACCCGAAAGAUGGUGAACUAUGCCUGAAUAGGGUGAAGCCAGAGGAAACUCUGGUGGAGGCUCGCAGCGGUUCUGACGUGCAAAUCGAUCGUCAAAUUUGGGUAUAGGGGCGAAGUAAGCAUCCCCGGUCCCUUAUUUUCUGGUGUAACAGUUGCUAACAUAUCAUUAACAGAGACUAAUCGAACCAUCUAGUAGCUGGUUCCUGCCGAAGUUUCCCUCAGGAUAGCAGUAACGUUUUCAGUUUUAUGAGGUAAAGCGAAUGAUUAGAAGCCUUGGGGAUGAAACAUCCUUAACUUAUUCUCAAACUUUAAAUAUGUAAGAAGUCCUUGUUACUUAGUUGAACGUGGACAUUUGAAUGCACCGUUACUAGUGGGCCAUUUUUGGUAAGCAGAACUGGCGAUGCGGGAUGAACCGAACGUGGGGUUAAGGUGCCGGAAUGUACGCUCAUCAGACACCAGGGGGAAGACUUGUGGUGUCGGGCUGGGGGGGAGACUCCCCCCCAGCGUCAGUCUGUUCAGGGCGAGGUCUUUCACUUGUUAGGGGUCGGUGUCGCUCCGCGACGGCCUACCCUCUGCUGUCCCCUCCCGCGGGGGCAGCUCACAGAUCAAGCAAAGGCCGGCGGCAGGAUGCCGUUGGAGAUAUGAUCGGCCCCUGGAGG